AGAGUUUGAUCAUGGCUCAGAUUGAACGCUGGCGGCAGGCCUAACACAUGCAAGUCGAGCGGUAGCACAGAGAGCUUGCUCUCGGGUGACGAGCGGCGGACGGGUGAGUAAUGUCUGGGAAACUGCCUGAUGGAGGGGGAUAACUACUGGAAACGGUAGCUAAUACCGCAUAACGUCGCAAGACCAAAGUGGGGGACCUUCGGGCCUCAUGCCAUCAGAUGUGCCCAGAUGGGAUUAGCUAGUAGGUGGGGUAACGGCUCACCUAGGCGACGAUCCCUAGCUGGUCUGAGAGGAUGACCAGCCACACUGGAACUGAGACACGGUCCAGACUCCUACGGGAGGCAGCAGUGGGGAAUAUUGCACAAUGGGCGCAAGCCUGAUGCAGCCAUGCCGCGUGUGUGAAGAAGGCCUUCGGGUUGUAAAGCACUUUCAGCGGGGAGGAAGGCGNAGGUUAAUAACCUUGGCGAUUGACGUUACCCGCAGAAGAAGCACCGGCUAACUCCGUGCCAGCAGCCGCGGUAAUACGGAGGGUGCAAGCGUUAAUCGGAAUUACUGGGCGUAAAGCGCACGCAGGCGGUCUGUCAAGUCGGAUGUGAAAUCCCCGGGCUCAACCUGGGAACUGCAUUCGAAACUGGCAGGCUAGAGUCUUGUAGAGGGGGGUAGAAUUCCAGGUGUAGCGGUGAAAUGCGUAGAGAUCUGGAGGAAUACCGGUGGCGAAGGCGGCCCCCUGGACAAAGACUGACGCUCAGGUGCGAAAGCGUGGGGAGCAAACAGGAUUAGAUACCCUGGUAGUCCACGCCGUAAACGAUGUCGAUUUGGAGGUUGUGCCCUUGAGGCGUGGCUUCCGGAGCUAACGCGUUAAAUCGACCGCCUGGGGAGUACGGCCGCAAGGUUAAAACUCAAAUGAAUUGACGGGGGCCCGCACAAGCGGUGGAGCAUGUGGUUUAAUUCGAUGCAACGCGAAGAACCUUACCUGGUCUUGACAUCCACAGAACUUNUUGGUGCCUUCGGGAACUGUGAGACAGGUGCUGCAUGGCUGUCGUCAGCUCGUGUUGUGAAAUGUUGGGUUAAGUCCCGCAACGAGCGCAACCCUUAUCCUUUGUUGCCAGCGGUUAGGCCGGGAACUCAAAGGAGACUGCCAGUGAUAAACUGGAGGAAGGUGGGGAUGACGUCAAGUCAUCAUGGCCCUUACGACCAGGGCUACACACGUGCUACAAUGGCAUAUACAAAGAGAAGCGACCUCGCGAGAGCAAGCGGACCUCAUAAAGUAUGUCGUAGUCCGGAUUGGAGUCUGCAACUCGACUCCAUGAAGUCGGAAUCGCUAGUAAUCGUAGAUCAGAAUGCUACGGUGAAUACGUUCCCGGGCCUUGUACACACCGCCCGUCACACCAUGGGAGUGGGUUGCAAAAGAAGUAGGUAGCUUAACCUUCGGGAGGGCGCUUACCACUUUGUGAUUCAUGACUGGGGUGAAGUCGUAACAAGGUAACCGUAGGGGAACCUGCGGUUGGAUCACCU
rnacentral:rRNA from 1 species